AAGCUCUGAGCACCUGGAAAGGAAUAAGUGGGACAGGGCAUGACAUCUACCAUCUCUACCAUCAGCCUCGUCUCCGAGAGGCACUUCCUGUGCCCGCUGUGUAAGGACAUCUUCAGCAGUCCCGUGACUACUCCGUGUGGCCACAGUUUCUGUCAGGACUGCCUGUGUGGCUACUGGACCCGGCACCGUUCAGACUACUGUCCCCUCUGCAAGAGAUUGUUCCAUUCCAGGCCAGACCUUAGUGUCAACCGCAUCCUGGCUGACGUCUGUGACAACUACAGGAAGACACGGCCUGAGAGCCCUGAGGAGAGCCACGACACGCCGCAGGUUGUAGACAUUGACCAGAUGAUCCAGGAGCGAUUGAAGAAAGUUGACAGACUCAGACACUCCCUGCAGCUCCUCAAAAACUCGUGUGUGAGGGAGGUGCGUGAGAGCCAGAAGGUGUUCUCUGCCCUUGUCAGUUCCAUGGAGAAGAGCCACAAGGCCGUGGUGGCAGCCAUUGAGGAGAGACAGGGGGAGCAGGAGAGGAUUGUUGAGAAGCUGGUGAAGGAGCUGGAACAGGAGAUUCUACAGCUGAGGAAUGGAGACACUGACCUGGGGCCUUGUCAUUCUCAGCAGAGCCAUGAUGAGCUCUGUGGGGGUGGUGGUCAGAAGAGUGUUGCAGUGAGUACCACUUCCACCAUGGGCUACUCUGAGAGGAGGGACUGGUCCAAGGUUUCCAUGGAGACAGACCCCUGUAUGGGCGUGACCAGGAGAGCAGUGUCAGACCUGAUGGACGUGCUUAAAGGAGAGCUCUGUAGACUCUCUAAAGCUGGGUGAGUGAAAUGUCAGAUCUGUUAGUCUGGGAAGGAUUCUUAUGGAGCUGUUAUCUUCAGGGUGAGUGAAAUGUCACAUCUGUUAGUCUGGGAAGGAUUCUUAUGGAACUGUUAUCUUCAGGGUGAGUGAAAUGUCACAUCUGUUAGUCUGGGAAGGAUUCUUACUGGAGCUGUUAUCUUUAGGGUGAGUGAAAUGUCAGAUCUGUUAGUCUGGGAAGGAUUCUUAUGGAACUGUUAUCUUUAGGGUGAGUGAAAUGUCAGAUCUGUUUGUCUGGGAAGGAUUCUUAUGGAACUGUUAUCUUUAGGGUGAGUGAAAUGUCAGAUCUGUUUGUCUGGGAAGGAUUCUUACUGGAGCUGUUAUCUUUAGGGUGAGUGAAAUGUCACAUCUGUUUGUCUGGGAAGGAUUCUUACUGGAGCUGUUAUCUUUAGGGUGAGUGAAAUGUCAGAUCUGUUAGUCUGGGAAGGAUUCUUAUGGAGCUGUUAUCUUUAGGGUGAGUGAAAUGUCAGAUCUGUUUGUCUGGGAAGGAUUCUUACUGGAGCUGUUAUCUUUAGGGUGAGUGAAAUGUCAGAUCUGUUAGUCU